AAUAGAUACCCUGGUAGUCCACGCCGUAAACGAUGUCGACUUGGAGGUUGUGCCCUUGAGGCGUGGCUUCCGGAGCUAACGCGUUAAGUCGACCGCCUGGGGAGUACGGCCGCAAGGUUAAAACUCAAAUGAAUUGACGGGGGCCCGCACAAGCGGUGGAGCAUGUGGUUUAAUUCGAUGCAACGCGAAGAACCUUACCUACUCUUGACAUCCAGAGAACUUGGCAGAGAUGCUUUGGUGCCUUCGGGAACUCUGAGACAGGUGCUGCAUGGCUGUCGUCAGCUCGUGUUGUGAAAUGUUGGGUUAAGUCCCGCAACGAGCGCAACCCUUAUCCUUUGUUGCCAGCGGUCCGGCCGGGAACUCAAAGGAGACUGCCAGUGAUAAACUGGAGGAAGGUGGGGAUGACGUCAAGUCAUCAUGGCCCUUACGAGUAGGGCUACACACGUGCUACAAUGACGCAUACAAAGAGAAGCGACCUCGCGAGAGCAAGCGGACCUCAUAAAGUGCGUCGUAGUCCGGA
rnacentral:rRNA from 1 species